GCGAAGGUGUGCUGUGAGGCAUGCUGGAGGUAUCAGAAGUGCGAAUGCUGACAUAAGUAACGAUAAAGCGGGUGAAAAGCCCGCUCGCCGGAAGACCAAGGGUUCCUGUCCAACGUUAAUCGGGGCAGGGUGAGUCGACCCCUAAGGCGAGGCCGAAAGGCGUAGUCGAUGGGAAACAGGUUAAUAUUCCUGUACUUGGUGUUACUGCGAAGGGGGGACGGAGAAGGCUAUGUUAGGCCGGGCGACGGUUGUCCCGGUUUAAGCAUGUAGGCUGGUUAUCCAGGCAAAUCCGGAUAAUCAAGGCUGAGGUGUGAUGACGAGGCACUACGGUGCUGAAGUAACAAAUGCCCUGCUUCCAGGAAAAGCCUCUAAGCAUCAGGUAACAUCAAUCGUACCCCAAACCGACACAGGUGGUCAGGUAGAGAAUACCAAGCGCUUGAGAGAACUCGGGUGAAGGAACUAGGCAAAAUGGUGCCGUAACUUCGG
rnacentral:rRNA from 1 species